CUCACACACCUUCCUAAAAACUAAAAGAGCUAUUACUGAGUCUCAGCGAAUCUUGCCAUGAUCAGCUCUUCCCAGAAGAGAAGGAAGACCAAGGAAAUGACUUGCUCAGGAUGAGGAAUGAAGACGGCCAUCUUGUGCUCAAACAAACAGAAGUCCACUGAUGAUCUCAUCAGCCAAAUGAGGGGUUUUGAUCAAGUGAUGCUCUUGAAAGGAGUGAAAGAAGAGGAUGUGGUAAAUUGUCUUCAGAGAAAAAGCUUCUCAAAAGAUCUUAAAACAGCUUGAAGAAUGGUAAGUGUACAGUACUACAAGGGUCAUAGUUGCUCACCCUGCUACAAUCACACAGAACAUAAGCUGAGCUCUCUGUCCAUUAAACAACUUCAUCUGGAUUGUUUGUUUCACUUUGACCAGGUCUGGGAUCUCAGGACUGAGAGAUC